GCUUCUUUCGAGGAUGGCUCUGUCGACGUCGCUGGAAGCAAAUCGUUGAGCAAUACAUCAAGAGCCCGCACGCUGAAAGUAUGAGGAAGAGAAACAGUCUUGUUUUCAAAAUGGUCGAAGCUGAAGAGGAGUACUUGGAACAAAUGGAGAUAUUGGUGACGUGUUUUCUGCGACCCUUCAAAAUGGCAGCCAGCUCCAAGAAACCACCUUGCACUCAUGAA
rnacentral:misc_RNA from 1 species